CUCCCUUGUGUUUCUUCUAAGGUUGGUAGAUUAGAUGAGUACAGAACCACACCUGGUUUAUUUACAUUCCUAAUCUUACCUUUAGAUUACUUUCUUUUUGAAAUACACUGAUUAGAAUCUAGAGUAAACAGCUAAAGAACUUUGCAGGAAAAUGCACAACCAUACAAGACUAUCACACAAUUUCAAAAAGUUCACUAAAUCUUCUUGAGCUCACAGUUCAACUAGAUAGAUUAUCAGACUAUUAGUUUAGGAAAAUGUUUCUUAAACUAUAAUAUGCAUGAUUCAGAAGCUUCAUUGGUGGGUGGGUUUUGUCUUUUUAGUUUUUAUCUGUGCACACAAACUUGUGCGUGACGUCUGUGUGUGAUAGGACAACUUGGAAAAGCUGUUUCUCCCUUCCAUGAUGUGGAUUCAGGAAACUGAGCUCAAGUUACCAGGUUUGCUGUUCUAUCAUUACACUCGACUAGACUUGUAUGCCUGCAGAAUUCAUGGGAGCACAAGGGUGGAGGCUCUGCCAACUGGAUCUAGCAAGAAUGACUUUGGCAAUACGAAGCACCAUUAAAGAACAAUCAAUGUAAUUAGCCUUAGGCAGCAUCAUCUGACUCAAGGAAGAUUUAUCAUCAUGUUAUUGACUCUUCUCCAGUCUACACUGAUGAUGGCAUCUAAGGAUUCUACCAAUAAUGAAUUUAUUUAAAUUCUCAGUGGAUGCUGAAAAAUAGCAAUACUGAUCAUCACUAAUGCUAUUAUAGAAAGUUUCCUGAAAGAUCAGCAUAAUGGACAAAUUUAAAAUCCAUUCAGCAAACCUUGGUCAGUAAAUAAAAAGUGUCUAAAGGGUAA